GGUCUGGUUAGAGAAUGAAAAAUAUCUACAUCUCAGAACAACUCUAUUUAAUCUAAAAAGCUCCCUACAAUUGCCAGCCUAUUUGCAGUCUCUUAAUAUGCCCACUACCCUUUCAGCCAGUACAUGAGAAAAUAUUUUUGGUCCCACAGGAUAUAGAAGAUAAGAUUUUUUUAAUUUUUUUUUGGAAUCUGUCACUGAAUUAUAUUUCAGAUGCAGACACUGUGGUAUUUCCGUGUUUGUGAUAUUUACUGUGCAGUUUGUCGUUAACAACUUGCAUGGAGUAGGGCGCCAUAGAAUUUGCCUUAGUGUUUCAGUUCAAAUAGAGAUCCUAAUUCAAAUGUCAUAACUCAAAUUCAAACACAGUAUGCUUGUUGUAGAAUUUAUCAGGUUUGCUGAUGAUUCCUUUUUUAUUAAAAUUUUUGCGGGGAUAAUAUAUUGUAACAGUCUUUGCAGCUACAGAGAACAGGACAGGCCAUCAGGGUAUAUUUCCCAAGUAUCUGACCGAAAACCUAAGCAAGAGAAGUGAGACAAACCAUCUAAUCUGUAUCCUCCCACUAACAGGCUGCGUCAUUUUGGAUUUCCGAGGUCCGUGUCCUUCUAAAUAAAAUGAGGAGAUGAGACAAGAGCAGCGGUUCUCAAAGUGUAGUUGGAGAGGGGGCGGUCCUCAGACUUUCAAUGAUAGCCAAGGUCAAAGCUCUUUUUAUAAUACUAAUACAUCAUUUGUCUUUUUCACUCUAUUUCUUUCAUGAGUAUGGACAGGAGUUUUCCAGAGGCUACCUCACGUGUGAUAUUUUAACAGACUAAAUGCACAGCAGCUUUGGGAAUCCAGCUUUCAUCUAUUAAGUCAGA
rnacentral:lncRNA from 1 species